GGCCGGUUAGCUCAGUUGGUUAGAGCGUGGUGCUAAUAACGCCAAGGUCUCGGGGUUCGAUCCCCGUACGGGCCA
rnacentral:tRNA from 1 species